UACGUAGGGGGCGAGCGUUGUCCGGAGUUACUGGGCGUAAAGGGCAUGCAGGCGGUCGGACGCGUUUUGUGUGACAGCGGGUGGCUCAACUACGCGAGCAUACGAAAGACGGUUUGACUUGAGGGCUCGAGAGGGACACGGAAUUCCGGGUGGAGUGGUGAAAUGCGUAGAUAUCGUAAGGAAGACCAGUGGCGAAGGCGGGUCUCUGGACAGUUCCUGACGCUGAGGCACGAAGGUCAGGGGAGCAAACGGG
rnacentral:rRNA from 1 species